CCUACGGGAGGCAGCAGUGGGGAAUUUUGGACAAUGGGCGAAAGCCUGAUCCAGCAAUGCCGCGUGAGUGAAGAAGGCCUUCGGGUUGUAAAGCUCUUUUGUCAGGGAAGAAACGGUGGGAGCUAAUAUCUCCUGCUAAUGACGGUACCUGAAGAAUAAGCACCGGCUAACUACGUGCCAGCAGCCGCGGUAAUACGUAGGGUGCAAGCGUUAAUCGGAAUUACUGGGCGUAAAGCGUGCGCAGGCGGUUUUGUAAGUCUGAUGUGAAAUCCCCGGGCUCAACCUGGGAAUUGCAUUGGAGACUGCAAGGCUAGAAUCUGGCAGAGGGGGGUAGAAUUCCACGUGUAGCAGUGAAAUGCGUAGAUAUGUGGAGGAACACCGAUGGCGAAGGCAGCCCCCUGGGUCAAGAUUGACGCUCAUGCACGAAAGCGUGGGGAGCAAACAGGAUUAGAUACCCUGGUAGUCCACGCCCUAAACGAUGUCUACUAGUUGUCGGGUCUUAAUUGACUUGGUAACGCAGCUAACGCGUGAAGUAGACCGCCUGGGGAGUACGGUCGCAAGAUUAAAACGUCAAAAUUGAAAUUGACGG
rnacentral:rRNA from 1 species